GGGUCGAGCCAUGACUCAGAACAGACAAUGAUCUCCCCCCCACUCCCUCCACCACCACUACCAUCAGCAUCACCACCACCACCUUCUUCAACCACACCACCAGCAUUUCCACCACCACUGCCAGCAUCUCCACCACCACCAGCACCUCCUCGUUCUCACCAUGACAUGGCUGAAGGUGGUAAGACGACGAAGCAUGCAACGACGAAGCUACAGGGAGGACGUGAACGUGUUUAUGUGUGAUGGAGGUGAGAGAAAGAGCUCGUCCCUUCAUCCACUUCAGUUAUUGGCCGAGAACACCCGAAGCCACAGGAGAAGGAUCAAUGCAUUGCAUAACUAAAGAGUCUGUAUCUACCAUUGACCUUCAGACAUGGAGGCUGGUAAGGGUGUUGCGGCAAGGAUCAAGUGAUCAGGAGAAUGUCUCGUUGCCAUAGAAACUCAACCUCAUGGCUGCUAUCCUCUUGUUAAUGGAAUGAAUAUACACAAGCAUUGAGUUGUUGCCUCGCGCGGGGCGAAAGGACAAUCUCACUCGCGGGACCACUUUUCAAGCAUUUCAAGCAACUUCAAAUACCUAUAUUCCCAGACACUGUAGCAUGGUAAGUUCUCACCAGAGAAUUGCGACGAAAAUAAAACACUAGACAUCAAGCUCAACACUGUGUAGGAUAAGCUGACGUACGAUGAUAAAGCAUCUCGCCCGGUUCCAACAAUGUUCCCUCCUCGACCUCAUCUGGGUGGCUGUCGCGAGGGACACAUCAUGUUUCGUUUGUCAGUGCUUAUCGCCAUUUAUCGUCUGUCAUCCUCGUUCCUCCGCCCCGUCCUGACUCCCCAAGACGUGCAGGACCUCCAUACUGCAGAGGAGAGCAUGCUGAGCCGAACGAUAAGUUGAGACGCUGAGGAAUGCGGUCAAAAAGGAGAGAAAGAACGUGUGUGUUAUCAGUUAUCCAUAUUGAGAAAAAGGGAGGAGAAUUUGUGAAUAAAAGGAAGAAACACUAAAAAAAACCCAGUUAGGAAAAAGAGUAGAUAGUGUAAAUAUGUUAGAAAAGAGAAAGAAAAGUGAUGAAAAAAGGAAAAAAAUGGAAAAAUGUUAGAAAAUAGAAAGAAAAGUGAUGAAAUGAAAGAAAAAAGUGGAAAAAUGUUUGAAAAUAGAAAGAGAAGUGAUUAAAUAAAUGGAAAAAUGGAAAAUGUUUGAAAAUAGAAAGAAAAGUGAUGAAAAAAGGAAAAAAAAUGGAAAAUGUUAGAAAAUAGAAAGAAAAGAGAUAAAAGGAAAAAGUGGAAAAUGUUAGAAAAUAGAAAGAGACGUGAUGAAAUAAAUAAUGGAAAACUGAGAAAUUGUUAGAAAAAUGUGGAAGAAUUCUUACGUUAGUUUCCCUUAUACUUAAAAGAGGAAAUGAUGCAAUAAAAGAAAAAAAAGCGAAAAAGUGUUAGGAAAAAGAGGAAGAACAGUUACAUUGACUUCCCUUAUACUAAAAAUAGGAAAAGUGAGAAAUUACAAAAAAAGAAAAAGAAACAGGAAGAACGUUUACUACAAGUGUCUACGUAUUGAAAAAAAAAGAGAAAGUGAUGAUUAAUAAUGAUCAAAAGAAGGAAAACUUGUACUAUAACCAACCACAUGACCUCUGUCACCGCCGUCACCACCACCACCACUACGGGACAUCGGCUUUGUGGGAGGCGGAGGCACCGGCGGCGGAGCGGCGAGCCCUCGUGGCGCGGGGUCUGCUCUUCUCGGCGGCAAGGUAAGUACCCCAUUGCAUGCUCGCCGUGGGACACCGCCGUGGGACAAAACAUCUUUAGCGACGAAGAAAGGUAAAUGCCAGUUCUUUUUUCUUUUAUCAGCUAGGUUGGUAGGCUCCUCUCUAACACACUUUGCCUUUCAGGAACACUCAUAUAUAAAUCUUAGUAUUGACAGCACAGCCCCGACGCCCACUGCACGGACCUGAGGCUGGCGGUCGCAUUUGCCUUCCGUGUGUGCUGCAGUGACGGUGACGGUGACCUGGGUAGGACACAGGAAGCUU